rnacentral:rRNA from 1 species
GAAUCCCGUCCUUGACAUGGACUACCAGUGCUUUGUGAUAUGUUUUCAACGAGUCGAGUUGUUUGGGAAUGCAGCUCAAAAUGGGUGGUAAAUUCCAUCUAAAGCUAAAUAUUGGCGAGAGACCGAUAGCGAACAAGUACCGUGAGGGAAAGAUGAAAAGCACUUUGGAAAGAGAGUGAAACAGUACGUGAAAUUGUUGAAAGGGAAACGCUUGAAGUCAGUCGCGUCGACCGAGACUCAGCCUUGCCUCGGCUCGGUGUACUUCUCGGCCGACGGGUCAGCAUCAAUUUUGCCCCUCGGAUAAUGGCGAGAGAAAGGUGGCACCCUCACGGGUGUGUUAUAGUCUCCCGUCGGAUGCGAGGGUUGGGAUUGAGGAACUCGGCACGUACCGUGCUUAGGAUGUUGGCAUAAUGGCUUUAAACGACCCGUCUUGAAACACGGACCAAGGAGUCUAACAUGCCUGCGAGUGUUUGGGUGGAAAACCCAUGCGCGCAAUGAAAGUGAAAGGUUGAGAUCUCUGUAAAGGGAGAGCAUCGACGCCCAGACCAGACCUUCUGUGACGGAUCUGCGGUAGAGCAUGUAUGUUGGGACCCGAAAGAUGGUGAACUAUGCCUGAAUAGGGUGAAGCCAGAGGAAACUCUGGUGGAGGCUCGUAGCGAUUCUGACGUGCAAAUCGAUCGUCAAAUUUGGGUAUAGGGGCGAAAGACUAAUCGAACCAUCUAGUAGCUGGUUCCUGCC